rnacentral:rRNA from 1 species
GACGGAGGAUGCAAGUGUUAUCCGGAAUCACUGGGCGUAAAGCGUCUGUAGGUGGUUUUCAAAAGUCCACUGUUAAAGAUUGAAGCUUAACUUCAAAAAUGCCGUGGAAACUUUGAAACUUGAGUAUGAUAGGGGUAGAGGGAAUUUCCAGUGGAGCGGUGAAAUGCGUAGAUAUUGGAAAAGACCACCAAUGGCGAAGGCACUCUACUGGGCCAUUACUGACACUGAGAGACGAAAGCUAGGGGGAGCAAAUGGGG